rnacentral:lncRNA from 1 species
CGAGUAGUAACAGAAACAGAGUUCCCCUGUGGUGGUGGUUCGCCGUGAAACAGAGUUAUGUCCGCCGUCAAAUCUCAACGUUUCUUCUCCUCUACUGUAAGUCUUUCAUAAAGCUUUUAUUUUUCUUCAUGGGUUCCGUUCCAAAAUAGAUCGUCAACGAUUAGGAAUUUGAUUGAAUUGCUCUUCAUAUUAGGGUUCUUUGAAAAAUGGUUUUUAUAGAAUCAGAACAUGAUCUUCGGAUCUUUCAAGGCAUAGACAAGCUUUGUGCUGGCAAAUAAUAGUUUGCUUUAGGAUCUUCAGAUCUCAAUCAUACGUUUAACGCCUAGACAUGAUGUUUAGAUAUAGACGAGCCUUGGUUGUGUUGUAUGAAAUAAUAGUUUGGUUCAAUUUUUCUUACAAGUAUAAGUUUAAGCCUAGAUGAGGUAAGAGAUUACGCAUGAUAGGCUCAGUUCAUAGCUCUGUUUUAUUGUCAGGUCUUGUUUCAGACAUUUAAUAUUCAGUAUUGAAUCUUUUUGCAUAAUCAAACAACUUUAGUGUCUUGAUCUUCACUUCAAACUUUGGUCCGUUAUUGUGUGAAGCAACAGCUAUAAUGCUUCCACUUUCUCAGAAUCACUUCUGUUUUACAAGCAAUGAUCACUUCUGAUCUAAUGUCUUCGUUAUGACUAGACAAGAUAGAGCAGAGGAAGGUGGUUUUGUUGGGUUUCUUGGAGAGUGUAGCCUUAUAACCCUUUCUCUAUAUCUGAUCUCUAGAAUCCCUCCAGUCUAUAGCUCCUACAUGACUUUCUUCUUAGUUCAUAGUUUCUGUUUUGAAACCCUCUCUUCAAGACUUAAAAGAAUAUAACUUUAUAGAAUCCAAACAUGAUGAGCUUAGACGAGUCUUUGGUGGUUCAUUUAUGUUUGCUUGUUGUAGGAAAUAUGAUUUGCUUGUUGUCUGAGACUUUAAAACUGAUCUUGAUUUGCUUUGUCUGUAGUUAAUAUGUUUUGUUUUGUUUAUUUGUCUUCACUGCUUGUUGAGCCUUCUAGAUUUUGCUGUAACUAUGCUAAGCCAAAUGAGUAUCUUUACUUGAGAGCUGAGAUUUGAUUUACAAGUUACAACAAUAAGUAUCCUAUUGUCUCCAAACUGUAUUUAGAUUUACAGUUGAAGAGAAACGAGAUUUGGGUGAUUGAUGUUUCUUUAUCUCCCUUGCAAAUUCCAUGGAAGCUCCUUCUAAUAGCUUCAGCCGGAGCACAAGACAGUUCUUCUGCUGUAAGCUCAAAAAUACACAGGAAACUUUGGAUGACAAGGUUUCAUCUUUUUGUGUUGAUUCAGGGUUGAACAAGAUUCAACAUCGAUUCUAAGCAAAUCAGACGAUGAAACAUAAGACGAAUAAAACCCAAAUCUUUUCGAAACAAAGUCCACACACAAUCAAUCAUCGCAGCCUAUCUUCAAAAGUUUAGAGCUAAACUCAUUUGACUGAACUUAUGAAAACUAUGAAUUCAUUAUUCAAAACUGAGCUACCAAAGUCAGAUUCCCUUAUCUAGUGUAACUCUUGGUAUCAUCGACCGCUCAUUAUAACAAUGUCUCAGACUAAAUAGAAUCAAG